GGUUCCUGCUGCCCUUGAAUCCCCUCGAUCCGUUUCCUCAUUCCAUCAUCAAGGACGCUCUAGCUGCGGAGCCCUUCGCCACCUCGGAGAUCCGCCGCCGCCACCCUCUCUGAUUCUUGUCGACGCUGCCGGCGACGCCAUCCGGCUCUCGCGUCAGCUGCCACCAACGUGGCUCCACCCCUGUCUCCCCCAUCGAUCCCCAGCACCUCCUCGCUGUUCCCCCCUGCGCGCGCCCCUGUGGGCUGCGGCUAACCCUAGACGCCAACUCGUGUUGCGGGCACUGAGGAUGGGAGCGGGCGGCCGCAUCGCUAAGGGGUUGGAGCGGCUGGGGCGUCACCGCCGCCGAACUCCGGGAAUCGCCGCCGCCAAGUCUCCAGGGCAGGGCGGUUUCAAACCCUGCCGACGAACUCCAGGAUACGCAUAAUCAUUGCCGCCGCCCCCCUCCCCCGGCUGCCCCGCGGUCUUCUAUCUCUCCCAACUCCGCUGUCGCGCCACGUCUUCCGUCUCUGCAUGAAUCGCGGCUGUGGCAGCCACUCCCCAUGGCGGCCAUCCUGGCACACCGUGUCCGGGAUGAUGGAGGUGAUGUCGGCCAGGUCCCUGUUUCCGUCGGCAUCUUCUGCGAUGAGACCCGUGGGGGCAGGUUGCACGCUGCUCAUCUGCGUCGAUGGCGUCGGCGUGGUCCUUCCCCUGCCAAGCGUGGCUGCUCCUUGGCUGGAUCAUAGUGAUGAUACAGUCGGCUCGGCGGGGGCUAGGGAUCUCGCUGGCUAGCGUUUAUUUGAUGUCUGGAUGUUCCAAUUGUGAUGGAACAGACGUAUAAUGUACUGUACAAGAAUUUGGACGAGGCUCAUCUGUGUGGAUGGUUGUGGCUUGGCUGCCGGGCACACAAUCCAUUGAUUCACACAUAAGGUCAAAACCGAGUCGCGGUGUUCACAAUGCUGGGCAUUAUUUAUAUCAAAGGACGAGGAGGAAGAUUUGGAUGACCGUAACCAAAAUGGCAAGGGCAGCAACAUGGUCGUCACCUGCAAUGCCGAUGGGUGCUGAGAUUAAGAUGUUUGGUUUAUUUGUUGAAAGUUACAUCCCAUGUUUCAUGAUUUAUUUGCCGCUGGUUAAUCAUGAUAUUUUGAACUGCUCUGACAAUUGCUUGCUGUCUGCGUCUCUUACUUUCCAACUUGCUGCACAUACAGAUAUACAUCAUUAGAAUCUCUUUGUACUUAUUCAACAUGCUUCAGUUAUGCUUCUUUGAAAAUCCAGUUGUAGAUGCAGUGAAGCCCCAUUUAGAUCUUGGCUAUAGUAUUAUUCUUGUCUUAUGACUUAUGACGGAUUGAUAUGUGAUACCAUGACAUAGCAUUGUGGUACCGUGGUAGUCACAUUUGGUGGUAGUUCUGAUUAUUUGCUAGAUUACGAGAUAAGACCAAGUGCUUCUGCAACUCGGUUGCGGUUUUGAUAGGAACAUGAAGACUUGUGCCAUGCCAUGGAGCAUGUUUGAUUUAAAGGACAUAGUUGCUCCAAUAUAUUGAGCAGGGAAGAAGUUUGUUACAAGUGUUUUAUAGAGUUGACGCAAGAGACAUCCGACGGGAUACAUUGGUGCAGGAAUCGACGAAGAAGCUUCCGUUCAGCAUGGUAUCUCAAUGGAAGAAUAUCCGAAGCAAACCUCCGCUACUUGUCUGUUCCCUUUCAUUUGUCGUGGGAAGACCUUAGGAAGGUAGGAAGACCUUAGGAAGAGUGGGUGGGAGGAAGGGAGGCAUGUGCUAUAGAUGUAGGCGAACAAUGGUCCUUGGAAAUUAUUAGUACUUUACAAAAUGUCUGUCCCCUGUGACGCCUACAAUGAGCGAGAGAGGGUGGAAGGAAGGGAGACCGGAGGAAGGAAGAUGGGGAUAUAUGUAGAGAGAGGGAGAUAGGAGGAAGGGAGAUGGGCAUAUAUGUAGAGAGAGGAAGAUCAGAGAGGGAGGGAAGAUUUACAGGACGAUUGUCAUUGAGCCACUCAAAUAUGUAUGUCUCUGUUGCAUCACACGGGCAAUUAACUAUAGAAAAAUUCAAGGCUAUUUUUUAAAGUGACAUUUAUUCACGCCGAUAAUUUCCAGGUACAUCAGGUUGAACAAUUUUGUUUAUGUUUUGAGUGGUUAAUAUUCUUUACCGCUGGCCACAUAUCUCACUUGUGUUGGUCCCCUAGAAUAUGCUAAUGUUUAGUUUCCAAUUUUUCAACUAUCAAAUAUCAGUGGACUUUACAUGGUUUCCUACAAAAUAAAAAAUAAAAUAGACUCAUAUGGCCCGAGUUUGUUUGCUCAGGAGGAUUCUUUCAUAGAUUAUAAUAGUCAGUGGCUUAAAAGUAUUGUCAGUGCUACAAACGUGAAACUGAUGAAAGAAGGACAUAUUUGUACCUUAUUGCCAGCUGACUAUACACACAAGAACCUCGAAACUCUCAUUACUGUGUUAUACAUUUAGUUGCAAUAGUAUUUGAUUUUUCAUGAAGCAAUAUGCUUACUGUUUCUUCAUUCAGUUUCAUGUGGCAAUGACGCAUGGAGGACGACGGUCACGAGUGCAUUGUCGCAAGCUCACGGGAGGGAGGCACACAUCUCAUCCAAUGGAAAAGCACGCUCCGAAAAAACCCUAACCCUCCAUGGAGCCAUUGCUAGGGGGCGACGAGAUCAACGCCACCCAUCACGACCACUGAGAUGUAGAAGUUCUUCGUGACUGAGCUGGCGAAGAAGAUGUCAAUGGUGGAAACAGACAUGUUAUAGAAGAUGUUGAGGGUGGCACCGGAUUUAAUGGCCAAAUGUGGUUCCUCGGCACCGAAGAGAAGGAUGCUGCAGCGACGCAUACUGGGUUCCAUUUCCAACCAGAGAAGAACUUAUGAAUGGCACUAGAAAGGAGAUGAUCCUAUCCACUAUCACAAUGAAACAAGAGAAACAAUUCCUUGCAGUCAUCUAUAAGGUCAGCAUGCUGGGGCUUGGUUGAUUCAUUUAUAUUGUUAUUUCUAUGCACACGUAAAAGGAUCUACGUAUCCACAAUUAAUUUGCUUACCCAUGUGAGUUUGGGGAUAUUUUUUCUCUUGUUAGGAUGCAUGUCAGUUUCAAAUUCUCUGAUAUCUUUGUAUAUAGUGCAAUUUUUAUUUUGUAAAAACCUACUACCAGUCCACACAUGAAGGGGCACUUAAUUUCUUAGUAUUUCUACAUGCAUUACCUCUCUUGAAUUUACUUAGUAAUAGUAUUUUGUUAUUUGGGUCUGAAGAUACCAAUAUUGCGAAAAGUAAAUAAUUUGGGAGGAAAGUGAUUUGAACUUUAUACUGUUAAGGAUAGUAAACCAAAUUGAUUUGUAUAGAGGCGUGAAUAAUCUGACAUAGAGACGGAGAACGCCCUACAUGCUCACGCAUUUGCGCCUCACCAAUUUUCACUGCCUCGCAUGCUUCCUAGGCCGAACUGAGAUGCCAUCUCGAGUCGCUGCAUUCUCGAAAAAAAAAUCUCAGAUGCCAUUGUUCCAUCGACUUGAUUCUAAUUGUUUUGCAGACUAAAAUCGUGUUUUGAAAUUAUAUUCAUAGAGUGAGAGACACUUUCCAAUGUGCUAAGAUGCGUAGCUCAACAUCAUAGGAUUAUCACAUUUUGAAUUCUGGUUCUUAGAGCUUUGGUUUCUAACCCUUAUUUGCUUGUCUUGUCUUUUGUUUUACGGGUUUCAAGCUUCAGCACAAAUCUUCUGUAGGAAAUCUUGUACUCAAAGUGUAGAAAAAUGCCAUUUUUGUGAAAUGUCACAAGAGCUACAUUACUAAGAUUGUUGUAAUGUUUGUAUGGCAGCCUAUUCUUUAAUCUGUUCAAUUACAGAGUUUAUGAUUAUGUAAAUGGAUUAUGGGAUCUGAGAAGAAAAAAA